rnacentral:tRNA from 1 species
GGUCUGGUAGUUCAGCUGGUUAGCAUGCCUGCCUGUCACGCAGGAGGUCGCGGGUUCGAGUCCCGUCCAGACCG